UUCAAACCUUGUCAUUUUUAAACGACUUCCCAAAAAGAGGAUUUUAUCAGUUCAUCGGAAUAUUUUUUUAUAUUUUUUUUAUGUAUGUUACCGCAUAACUUUAGACCACCUUA